rnacentral:tRNA from 1 species
GGAGGUGUAGCUCAGUGGUAGAGCACUUGCCUAGCAUGCAUGAGGCCCUGGAUUCCACCUCUG